AGAGUUUGAUCCUGGCUCAGGAUGAACGCUAGCGGCAGGCUUAACACGUGCAAGUCGAGGGGCAGCGGGGGAGUAAGCUUGCUUACUUCUGCCGGCGACCGGCGCACGGGUGAGUAACACGUAUGCAACCUGCCCGUCACAGGGGGAUAAUCGGAAGAAAUUCCGUCUAAUACCGCGUGACAACACCGAGAGGCAUCUUUUGGUGUUCAAAGGGAGCAAUUCCGGUGACGGAUGGGCAUGCGUCGCAUUAGCUAGUCGGCGGGGUAACGGCCCACCGAGGCGACGAUGCGUAGGGGUUCUGAGAGGAAGGUCCCCCACACUGGUACUGAGACACGGACCAGACUCCUACGGGAGGCAGCAGUGAGGAAUAUUGGUCAAUGGGCGGGAGCCUGAACCAGCCAAGUCGCGUGAGGGAUGACGGCCCUAUGGGUUGUAAACCUCUUUUGCCGGGGAGCAAAGUGCCGCACGUGUGCGGUUUGGAGAGUACCCGGAGAAAAAGCAUCGGCUAACUCCGUGCCAGCAGCCGCGGUAAUACGGAGGAUGCGAGCGUUAUCCGGAUUUAUUGGGUUUAAAGGGUGCGUAGGCGGACGCUUAAGUCAGCGGUAAAAUUGCGGGGCUCAACCUCGUCGAGCCGUUGAAACUGGGUGCCUUGAGUGGGCGAGAAGUACGCGGAAUGCGUGGUGUAGCGGUGAAAUGCAUAGAUAUCACGCAGAACUCCGAUUGCGAAGGCAGCGUACCGGCGCCCAACUGACGCUGAAGCACGAAGGCGUGGGUAUCGAACAGGAUUAGAUACCCUGGUAGUCCACGCAGUAAACGAUGAAUGCUAGUUGUCCGGGGCGAUUGAGUUCUGGGUGACACAGCGAAAGCGUUAAGCAUUCCACCUGGGGAGUACGCCGGCAACGGUGAAACUCAAAGGAAUUGACGGGGGCCCGCACAAGCGGAGGAACAUGUGGUUUAAUUCGAUGAUACGCGAGGAACCUUACCCGGGCUCAAACGCAGGAGGGAUGUUUUUGAAAGGAGGCAGCCAGCAAUGGUCUCCUGCGAGGUGCUGCAUGGUUGUCGUCAGCUCGUGUCGUGAGAUGUUGGGUUAAGUCCCGCAACGAGCGCAACCCUUAUUGUUAGUUGCUACGCAAGAGCACUCUAGCGAGACUGCCGUUGACAAAACGGAGGAAGGUGGGGACGACGUCAAAUCAUCAUGCCCCUUAUGUCCUGGGCUACACACGUACUACAAUGGCGGUCAACAGAGGGAGGCAAUACCGCGAGGUGGAGCAAACCCCUAAAAGCCGUCCCAGUUCGGAUUGCAGGCUGCAACCCGCCUGUAUGAAGUUGGAAUCGCUAGUAAUCGCGGAUCAGCAUGCCGCGGUGAAUACGUUCCCGGGCCUUGCACUCACCGCCCGUCAAG
rnacentral:rRNA from 1 species